CCGCAGCGCGCGCGGAUUGGGCGCGGGUGGGUGCGGGGCCCCGGGCCGGGAGCCCUCCUUCCGUCCCCUCGUAGGCUGCUCGUACUGCCGCCCGCUUACAGAGGGGAAAACCGGGGCGCUCAGCAGACUUCUCCACACUGUUCAAGACCCUGCCCUGGGGAGCCCUCCCUGCUCUGUGGCCACUGCCCAGCCCAGGUCUCACCAUAGCAUCUGGUCCCCAGCAGGCUGAGCCCCCUGAGGCUCGGGGUCAGGUCUGUGCCGACUUUGCAGCCCUGCGACAGUGGAUUCUCAGUAAACGCUUCCUGAGAGCAAAGACAUGAGGGCUGGAACCUGGCUCCCCUGCAUGCAGACUACAUCUGCCAGGUGCGGUGCUAGGAGAGGCAGGUACUCCCUGGGCUGGAAUUUCCCAAGAUCUGCCGUCUGGGAGGGGAACGAACACUGGUGACCAUCAUUGUCAAGGCCACGGUGCGUGGACCGCCGACCCUGUGCCCCGCCUCGUGCUGGACACUGUGACCUGGCCCCUCAGCCCCUCACUAGAACCCUUCAGGUUUUCCUGCCCCGCUGUGCAGGCCAGGAGACCUGGAUGCAGAGUGACUUGCUCACGGCCAUGUGCCCAAAGGCAGGAGCCAAGACUGGAACCCAGCUCAGGCGUAUCCUAAAGGCUUGUCAAAUCCUACUGGAGCCUGGGGACAGUUUUGUGCAAGCGGGAGUUCCAGAUUCUUCUGCCUCUUUCCCACCUGCCUCCCUUCACUCCCCCCACCCCCACUUUGGUAAAGGUCGCCGCCAGCUCCCUGGUUGCUGAGCCUGAUGCUCCAGACCCAAGCUGCCCCCUCUCCUUGGCUGCCCCCUCUUUCAGGGGCCAGUCCUGAAGUGCCACUCUGAUAGGCCUUGUUGCAGCUUCGCUACCCAGUGUAUCUGGCUAGGGGUUCUCUCUCCCAUCUCCUCCCCCCGCCCCCCCCCUCCAGCCACCAUUUUUUUGAAGAUAGGGCCUCUUGUGAGGGACCAGACAAAGUGCUUCUUCUUCCUCUUUUUUUUUAGGGCUGCACCUGCGGCAUAUGGAGGUUCCCAGGCUAAAGGUCAAAUCACAGUUGUCGCUGCCGGCCUAUACCACAGCCACAGCAAUGCUAGAUCCAAGCUGUGUCUGUAAUCUACACCACAGCUCACGGCAAUGCCAAAUUCUUAACCCACUGAGUGAGGCCAGGGAUCAAACCUGUGUCCUCAUGGAUGCUAGUCAGAUUCAUUUCUGUUGAGCCACGUUGGGAACUCCCUUUUUUUUUUUUUUUUUUUUUUCUUUUCUUUUUAGGGCUGCACCUGCACCAUAUUGAAGUGAAAUUCCCAGACUAGGGGUCACAUUGAAGCUGCAGCUGCCAGCCUACGCUGCAGCCACAGCAACACCGGGUUCUUAACCCACUGAUCGAGGCCAGGGAUGGAACCCGCAUUCUCAUGGAUACUAGUCGGGUUCGUAGCCUGCUGAACCACGGCAGGCACUCCCUCUCCCUCUCCCUCCCUCUUGAGAAAAAAAGGACAAAAUUAAAUUGUGGCGAGUUAUCAUCGAUCUCGAGAAAGCCGCACUGAGGUCUGUGGGCACCUUUCUUUGAAGAUGCACCUCACGUGGUUGCAGUGGAUAAGGGGGCGCUGGAGGCCAGGCCAGCUGGCCGGUCCCUGGUGUCCUCAUAGAAUAUCGCAGGGCGGGCAAGCUACUCCCACCCUAGAGCCGCCUAGGGAGGUGGCGGCCCCCACAGCCCACCCCUUCGGCCAUAAGAGACUCCAUGAGGGGCUCACUGCCACUACCCUGCCUUCCUUGAAGCAGUGUCCUCCUGGGGAGGCCAUGUUCUAAAACUGCCUGUGGUGAUGGGUGCGUAACCCCAUGAAGGCACCAAAAACCACUGACUUACACUCUUUAAAUGGGGGAAUUGCAGAGUGGGUGAAUUAUAGCUCCAUGUAUCUAUUUGAAAACACACACAACGCAGUUCCCCGGUGGCCUAAUGGUUAAGGACCCAGUGUUCUCACUGCUAAGGCAUGGGUUGCUGCCGUGGUGCGGGUUUGAUCUCUGGUCCUGGACUUUUGCAUGCUAUGGGUGUGCCCCCCAGGAGAAAAAAAAACCACACACACCCUUAACCUAAGUGUCCUGUGUCUUCCCCAGGGAGGCCAGACAAAUGAAAUGUGGGGAAAAAAAUCAUGACAACACUCAAAUAUUACCUGAUAGGGACAAUCAAAGCUAACAACUUCUUUUUCUUUUUUGGCUGUGCCAGCAGCAUGCAGAAAUUCCCAGGCCAGGGAUAGAACCUGUGCUACAGCAAUAACCAGAGCCACAGUGGUGACAACGCUGGAUCCUUAACCCACGGUGCCACCAGGGAACUCUCUGGGCUAACACAUCUUUAGUGCUGGUGACAUGCUGUUAACUGCUAUGACUCUCACCCCAGCUCUGUCAGGCAGACCUUAUUAUGUUCCCCCUUGACAGAUGGGGAAACUGAGGCACACGGUGGGGAAUGCGACUUGCCAAGUUCACAUGAAAAGACAUGUCAGGGCAAGAUUUAAGCCCCAGGAGUUCCUGUUGUGGCUCAGCGGGUUAAGAACCCAACAUAGUAUCUGUGAGGAUGCAGGUUCCAUCCCUGCUCUCGCUCAGUGGGUUACGGAUCUGGCGUUGCCCUGAGCUGUGGUGGUGGUUGCAGACGCAGCUCAGAUCCCGUGUUGCUGUGGCUGUGGUGUAGACUGGCAGCUGUGGCUCCAAUUAUAUCCCUAGGCUGGGAACCUCCAUGUGCUGUGGGUGUGGCCCUAAAAAGAAGAAAAAAAAAGAUUUCAGCCCCACCGUCUAGCUCCAGUACCCUCUCAUCAACCCCGGACAGAGACAGCGGUAAGGAAGAUACCCGUAUAAUAUCAACAAGUGUCCCCACUAGUGGUUCCUCCAUGUUCCUAUCAGCAUCAGUGACCCACAGGCUGGUCUAGUUUCAGACAACACCCCCCCCUUUUUUUUUUACUGGAAUCAUGUGAAGCGUAUCUUUUGAGAAAGAUGCAACUUCCUCUAAAUCAUCUUAUUUCAGCUCUACCCCCUCCUCUGCCCCCCCGCCACCCCCCCCACUCCCCCACAUACCCCUGCUGGAUUCUUCUAUUGCACGUCUUAUUGUCCUAUCAUUUCAUUCAUAAAUUCUGCAGAAUGCAUCUCUGUGAUAAGACCUCUUCUCCAACAAUCACAUUUUCGUUUAAUUACCACUUUCAUACCCACAAGAGGUUAAUGAUUCAGUAACAUCCUCCCAAGUCGACCCCCACGCCCGUUGUUUCCGAAAUGUAUUAAUGAGAACUUGGGCCAAAUCAAGAGACGAUGUUCAUACAUUGCAUUUGGCUGGGAUAGCUCUUAAAUCCCUUGUACGCUAGAAGGAUUCUUUUUAUUUCCUUGACGUUUAGUCGUGCAGAAAGUGUGAGAUCCUGGCUCUUUGGCAUUGAUUUGCUGCCUCUUAAACGCCCUCCAGCAAAAACGGGAAGGGUGGUGGGUGGAGGGGGUAACGGGUGAUGGGAGCCUGGCCCAGCCUCCGGGCCUGGUGGAGAGUCUGGUAUUUCCACCUCGCUGGUCAUCUGGAAAGAGAAAAUACUGGGCCUUGGCGGAAAGGAGCCGCACAUUGAUGUUGGCAGCAGCUAAAUACAUGCAUUUGUCCGUUUUGUCACAAAUGCUGUCAAUACUACCUUUCAAAGCAUAUCUGGGAGUUCCCGUCAUGGCGCAGCAGAAACAAAUCCGACUGGCAAUCCAUGAGGUUGCAGGUUUGAUUCCUGGCCUCACUCAGCGGGUUGAGGAUCUGGCAACGCUGUGAGCUGUGGUGUAAGUGGCGGACAUGGCUCAGAUUGGGCAUUGCUGUGGCUGUGGCUAUGGCCAGCAGCUGUAGCUCUGAUUCGACCCCUAGCCUGGGAACCUCCACAUGUUGCAGGUGUGGUCCUAAAAAGACAAAAAAGAUGAAAAGAAAAAAAAACCAUCUCUGAAACCUUCCCUUUUUUUUUUUUUAUUACUCAAAUGAAUUUAUCACAUCUGUAGUUGUAUAAUGAUCAUAACAAUCUGAUUUCACAGGAUUUCUAUCCCACAGCCCAAGCACAUCCCCCCACCCCCUAAACUGUCUCCUCCGGAGACCAUAAGUUUUUCAAAGCCUGUGAGUCAGCAUCUGUUCUGCAAAAAAUUUCAGUCUAUCCUUUUUUCAGAUUCCGCAUGUCAAUGAAAGCAUUUGAUGUUGGUGUCUCACUGUAUGGCUGACUUCACUUAGCAAGAUAGUUUCUAGGUCCGUCCAUGUUGCUAAAAAUGCCAGUAUUUCGUUCCUUUUAAUGGCUGAGUCAUAUUCCAUUGUGUAUAUGUACAUCUUCUUGAUCCACUCCUCUGUUGAUGGAUAUUUAGGUUGUUUCCAUGUCUUGGCUAUUGUAAAUAGUGCUGCAAUAAACAUUGGAGUACGU